GGUUCGCAUAUGGCGGGUGGCGUCAUGUUGUUUGUAUUUACGGGAAAAAUCUCAGCCGGAGAAUAUGCCGUCGUCGACUAAUUUCGCCUAAGGAGAGGUUCUUCGUCGCGAAACCGAUGGUCAUCAACGAUCGGCGACGUCCCGUCGAGUACGGGACGCGUCAUGACACGUCGGCGCUGUCAGCCGGCUUCGGCCAGCACAUUGAGGAGUACGAGGUGCUGAAUCUCCUCGGCAAGGGCGGUUACGGGAGCGUUUACCGAGCGAAAUGUCUCUGCAGCGGCAUGGAAGUCGCGAUCAAAAUGAUCGACAAGAAAAUGAUGCACGCUGCUGGGAUGGUGGAUAGAGUAAAUCAGGAAGUGGGAAUACAUUCACGAUUAAAACAUCCAGCUAUAUUAGAGUUGUACACAUGUUUUGAAGAUGCAAACUAUGUGUACUUGAUAUUAGAAUUAUGUCACAAUGGGGAACUUCAACGUUUUCUCAAAGCACAGGGUGCCAAAGCUUUACCCGAAGAACAUGCUGCUCGUAUAAUUAGACAAGUUGUACAAGGUUUACUUUAUCUUCAUUCCCAUCAGAUACUGCACAGAGAUAUGUCACUGUCUAAUUUACUUUUGACGAAAGAUAUGCAAGUGAAAAUAGCGGAUUUCGGGUUAGCUACGCAAUUAAGUAAACCAGAUGAAAAGCAUUUGACUAUGUGUGGCACUCCCAACUACAUUUCUCCUGAAGUUGCUACGAGAUCUUCCCAUGGACCAGAAGCGGAUGUAUGGAGUUUGGGAUGUAUGUUAUAUACUUUAUUAGUCGGUAAACCACCGUUCGACACCGAUGCAGUUAAGAGCACUUUAACGCGAGUAGUAAUGGCUGAUUAUGUGAUGCCGCCUUAUUUGUCGGACAAUGCAAAAGAUUUGAUAGAUAAAUUACUGAAAAAAAAUCCGAAAGACAGGAUAUCCCUACGAGAUAUUCACAAACAUCCAUUUAUAAUGAAUAUAGAAAGAAGUAAACUAUAUAAUGAAAGAAAUGGCAUGGGAAGUAAAGAUUUUUUAACUGAUGGUAUGAUUGAUUCCGGGCUAGGUAGGACCCUGUCCUCGUAUGGCCGAUCGAAAAUGCGAGCUCGUUCAGAGGAAAGAACAUCCACGACCCCGAUAAUGCCUAUGCUCAGUGUGAGAAGCGAGGCGUUGUCUGAACCUAUUACAAAAAUGCAAUCAAAUUAUAAAGCGAGAUACAAGAAUUAUAACACAAAAGAAGAUUCUGUGUUAGUAGGUGUUCCAAUAUCUCGCAGUAGAGUGUUUUCGCAAAACGAUAAGUACAAUGAGUAUGAUAAUUUUGAGAGGCAAAAAAUGACUGAAAGACAUAAUAACCCAAGAAAAGAAAAGAGUGCGGAAAAUCAUAAUGUAGAAGAGGAGAGUGCAAAGUUACAAGUACCUCCCUUGAAUACCAACAGAUUACAACCUACUAGGCACAGAACAAACAACGCGAUUUUUACGAUUCUAGACCAUGGAGAAGUAUGCAUCGAGUUUAUGAGACGUAAAAAUGGCAAGGAAAAAAUCAAUGAUGUGUGCAGAAUAUCAGGUGAUGGUCUACGAGUCGUUCUCUACAAACCUAGUGUGGUUACAGAAGUAGGCUUGCAGCCACCACCAUUGCCCAGCCGUGGUGCUGAUAGUAUUUAUUCCUAUGAGAAUUUACCAGCGUGUCAUCAUCGAAAAUACAUAUACGCUUUCCGUUUUGUAAAAUUGGUUCAAGGGAAAACUCCAAAGUUAACACUAUAUACUCAACGUGCAAAGAGUGUCUUCAUGGAGAAUGGUCCACAGCCUGAUUGUGAAGUUCAUUUUUACAAUGGAGUAAAGAUUGAUCGAAUAAAUGACGUUGUGAAGAUCACCGACAGCGGUGAUACAUUUGUUGAGGGUGAAAUUCCGCCGCAUCUCGAAACCUAUUUCGAGCAUUACUCGGAGUGCUACAAACGUUGCUUACUACUGGAAUCUACUUUGACAUCUUUAGAAACAGCCACUGGACAUCCUUGUUUUCCCGUAAUAAUUGGACGAAAGCCUUGCACAGUCCUGAAUAAUUCUCCCUAUUUGCAGGACAAAGAAAAUAUGCAUACUAAUAGGAAUAUUUCUCCCAUUUUGCCGUCAUUCGAUGGUAGCUGCUCCAUCGUUUCGACAGUGGCUUCUAAAUCACGCAAGAUAAAUUCCGCGCAUAGUUUUAAUAAUGCAAAUAAAGUAAGUGUGCCAGGAAUUGGUUUUGCCACCACAUUAUCAUCCGGUGAUAUCCGGGUUGAUUACAAGGACGGAUCCGCUUUAACUGUAAGUCCGCAAAAUCAUAAUAGCAUUAUAUACGAAAGUAAAGAUGGCAUUGUUAUGCGAUAUAAUAAGCAUCACCAACAAAAUCUGGAUACAUCGGUCCACGAGAAACUUCUUCAAUUACCAAGGAUUGUUCAGUUUCUCAUGGGACCAAGGCACAAAUGUAUUCGGUAACUCUAAUCAAAAAUAUUGAAUGUUGUAUAAUACGAUUGAAAAAUCACUCUGACAUGGACUAUAGCAGAGGAGAAAAGCUGUAAAUACUAUUAAGAGAAAUUUAAGAGUAAUUCUUAUAAAUGGAAUUUAAAUAAUUGAACAUUUUUCCACAUUAUGUGUAAUAUAUAAAGAAAAGUUUUUAAAUUCUUGCGGUAUCUGCUGCUACUCAAAAUAAAUUAUACAGGUAUA